CUCCUCUUCACCUUUUAUAGAUCUCGCCGGUUACCCUCUUCCGUUACAGUUUGCCGGAGAGGUACAAUUCUAAUUUUCCGAUCAAGACUUUGUCGGAGCCGGAACACUGGAAAUACUUCGAUCGGUACCUAUAUAUAUCUUGCAGUUCUGAGUGGCCAAGUGAAUCCACAGGAAAUGGCUUAUGAUAACUCAUCCACGCUUGAGCCCAAACGUUCACAUCAAUGGUUCAUGGAUGGCAUCGAGCCUGAAUUGCUUCCCAACAAGAAGCAAGCCAUUGAAGUACCUAAUCACAGUUCAUUCUCUGGACUUUUAAGUUCCAAUAUUGCCCCCUGGAUGAACACUCCAGGUUUCCACUCAGUAUCAGGCCAAUAUGCAGAAAGACAGUUUGACAAUGACAGCGCAAGAUCGCUCAGCUUUGAUGACAACAGUGUUCCAUCCGUUGGCAUAGGCAACAUGAAUAUGUCUAGAAAGGUGAUGGAAGAUCCAUUUGGAAGUGAUUCCUCAUUUGGUUUAUCCAUAUCCCAUACACUGGAGGAUCAUAAAUCAGGUCUAAACUAUAGUGGUAUCAGAAAGGUCAAAGUCAGCCAGGUGAAGGAGGCUGAGAAUUUCACGCCUGUGUCAAUGGGUGAUAUCUAUACCAGAGGGAUCAGCAAUGCAAUGCCAACAGAUCAUGCUUUUAGUAAGGCUGAGGAUAAUUGCAUAGCUAUGGGACUCUCUUUCAAUGGAGGUGAUGAGCAUCUGAUGUCAUUAGGUGACACAUUUAAUAGGGAAGAGAACAGUUUCAUAUCUAUGGGUCAACCUUUUAACAAGGUGGAUAGCAAUGAAAUAUCACUGGGUCACAGCUUCAACGAGAGCAGCUCACUGUCAAUGAGUCACCCUUUUUGUAAAGAUGAAAGCAAUAUUAUUAUGCUGAAUCAAAGUUUUAGCAGAGAGGAUGAUAGCACAAUAUCAGUGAGUCACUCAUUCAAUGACAAUAAUACUGCCAUAUCAAUGGGUCAGCAAUUCGGUAAUGAUGAUAGCAAUAUUACAUCAGUUGGACAAACUAUUAAUACGAUGGCUGACACCAAUCCACCUAUGAGCCACUGCUACAGCAAAGUCAAUGACAAUGCCAUAUCAGUGAGUCAGACCUAUAGCAAAGUUGAAAACAAUAAUUUGUCAAUGAGCCAAUCUUUUGGCAAUGGAGAAAGCAAUAUCAUAUCCUUUGGUGGAUUCAAUGAUGAUGACGAUAUAAAUUCUUCUGGAAGGCUGAUUUGCAGUUAUGACUUAUUAAUGAGUCAGUCUUCAGGCCAACAAUCAGAUAUUGUGACUGGAAAGCGAUUGGUUGAGUCAAAUGCGGAUACAGUUACAAGUGCUGCUCAAAUGGCUGGCAGUAAGGAAUUUAUUUCCAAAAAGGAGGAGCAGAAAGCAACUAAAAAGCCUCCUUCGAACAGUUUCCCUUCAAAUGUGAGAAGCUUGCUCUCAACUGGUAUGUUAGAUGGAGUACCUGUCAAGUAUAUAGCUUGGUCCAGAGAGAAGGAGCUCCGUGGUAUUAUAAAAGGCUCUGGUUACCUCUGUGGCUGUCAGUCAUGUAAUUUUUCCAAGGCAAUUAACGCUUAUGAGUUUGAGCGACAUGCUGGUUGUAAGACAAAACACCCUAAUAAUCAUAUAUACUUUGAGAAUGGGAAGACGAUCUAUGGAAUUGUUCAGGAGCUCAGGAACACACCUCAGGAUUUACUAUUUGAAGUUAUUCAGACAAUUACUGGAUCGUCCAUUAACCAAAAAUCAUUUCGCAUCUGGAAAGAAUCUUUUCUAGCUGCGACACGUGAACUUCAGCGUAUAUAUGGGAAGGAUGAGGUCAGACGACUGUCAUAAAGAGGAAUCCAUAUGCAUGCUGAAGAGGAGCUCAUUUCUUAGAUGAAGAGGCUGCUCUAUAGCCAGACCUCCUUUUGGAAUUUGGAAGAUAAAGCCUCAAAUAGAAAAUCAUUAUAUGCCUUCAUCUUCGGUAGCAGUUGUUCCUUUCAAUGAAUUGAUCCCAACUGAAGCACCCAAUUGUUAUCAUGAUGGAACCUUUGAUAGCAUGGCUUAGAUUUAACCCACCACUUUGAGAGUUAUGACCGGCAUUUCCUGUUGUCCAAAAUAGUUCAACUAUUGGGCCUCGUACCAGUGUCAUGAUCAUGGCUCCUGCCACUGUGGCAAUAGUCCCAACUAUUUUGGCUUGGCUGCGGAUGCUUAAACUUCUAUGGUUAUGUAAAUGACAAAUUGACAACCAAGGUGCGUGGGUUGCUUCCUUAAAGAAACUGUGUUUUCUCUUUUGCUAUUGGUCCUCAUAGUUGAUCACUCUAUUAUUGCGUUGGUCCUUGGUAAUAAUUCUUGUCAAAUAGUUAUGGCUGUAAAUUAUAUCUUUCCUUUGGUUCUAAAUUUUGAUGUAAAUUAGUACAUAAGUUUUUGCAUGCCGGUUAAUUCGAUGAGAAUCUGUGUGUUAGAAAUUUCCCUAGCUAAGUGGUGUGAGUUGGCAAGUUUUAUAGCUAGACCAUGAGUAUCCUACUGCUCUUUCCAUUGGCAUUGCACCAAACUUGCCACUUCUGAAUUGAAUAUUCUUGUGGGUUUUAAAGUAUUUUAAAGUUUGAUA